GCAUGUUAUCUCUAUCAAGAUGAUUCUAAUUCGUCAGAUAUUAUUUAUUCUAGUAUCUGGAACACGAAAUAGAUAGAGUGGAUCAAAGGAACUAUGAUUCAUACUCACUAUUAAGACCUUGCAACCAGACUGAAAAAUUCAAGUAGUUCCUAA
rnacentral:rRNA from 1 species